GACGAACGCUGGCGGCGUGCCUAAUACAUGCAAGUCGAACGAACCGCGACUAGGUGCUUGCACUUGGUCAAGGUGAGUGGCGAACGGGUGAGUAACACGUGGGUAACCUACCUCAUAGUGGGGGAUAACAGUCGGAAACGACUGCUAAUACCGCAUAGGACAUAGGAUCACAUGAUUCUGUGAGGAAAGGUGGCGCAAGCUAUCGCUAAGAGAUGGACCCGCGGUGCAUUAGCUAGUUGGUAGGGUAAAGGCCUACCAAGGCGAUGAUGCAUAGCCGACCUGAGAGGGUGAUCGGCCACAUUGGGACUGAGACACGGCCCAAACUCCUACGGGAGGCAGCAGUAGGGAAUCUUCCGCAAUGGACGAAAGUCUGACGGAGCAACGCCGCGUGAGUGAAGAAGGUCUUCGGAUCGUAAAGCUCUGUUGUUAGAGAAGAACAGAGCAUAGAGUAACUGUUAUGCGUGUGACGGUAUCUAACCAGAAAGCCACGGCUAACUACGUG
rnacentral:rRNA from 1 species